AGAGUUUGAUCCUGGCUCAGAUUGAACGCUGGCGGCAUGCCUUACACAUGCAAGUCGAGCGGCAGCGCGGGGGCAACCCUGGCGGCGAGCGGCGAACGGGUGAGUAAUACAUCGGAACGUGUCCUUUCGUGGGGGAUAACCAGUCGAAAGACUGGCUAAUACCGCAUGAGAUCUCACGAUGAAAGCGAGGGACCGCAAGGCCUCGCGCGAUUGGAGCGGCCGAUGUCGGAUUAGCUAGUUGGCGGGGUAAAAGCCCACCAAGGCGACGAUCCGUAGCUGGUUUGAGAGAACGACCAGCCACACUGGGACUGAGACACGGCCCAGACUCCUACGGGAGGCAGCAGUGGGGAAUAUUGGACAAUGGGGGCAACCCUGAUCCAGCAAUGCCGCGUGAGUGAUGAAGGCCUUAGGGUUGUAAAGCUCUUUUACUCACGACGAUGAUGACGGUAGUGGGAGAAUAAGCCCCGGCUAACUUCGUGCCAGCAGCCGCGGUAAU
rnacentral:rRNA from 1 species